rnacentral:tRNA from 1 species
GCGGGAAUAGCUUAGUGGCAGAGUUUUUCUGCCAAUGGUUAGAGCACGCACUUAUUAUUUAUUUUGACAAACACGCUUCAUAUAAAUAGUAAGUGCGGAGACACGAGUUCGAAUCUUGUUUCCCGCU